rnacentral:lncRNA from 13 species
AUGGCUCUGAAUGAACUUUAUUUGACUCUUUGCAAACUGGAAACUAUUUAUCCGGAGGCUGCAUUCAUUGUAGCUGGGGAUUUUAACAAGGCUAAUCUGAAAAAAAGACUCCCUAAAUUUUAUCAGCAUAUCGAUUGCGCAACCAGGGGUGGAAAGACCUUGGACCAUUGUUACUCUAACUUCCGCGACGCAUAUAAGGCCCUGCCCCGCCCCCCUUUCGGAAAAGCUGACCACGACUCCAUUUUGUUGAUCCCUGCCUACAGACAGAAACUAAAACAAGAGGCUCCCACGCUGAGGUCUGUCCUACGCUGGUCCGACCAAGCUGACUCCACACUCCAAGACUGCUUCCAUCACGUGGACUGGGACAUGUUUCGUAUUGCGUCAGACGACAACAUUGACGAAUACGCUGAUUCGGUGUGCGAGCUCAUUAGAACGUGCGUUGAAGAUGUCGUUCCCAUAGCAACGAUUAAAACAUUCCCUAACCAGAAACCGUGGAUUGAUGGCAGCAUUCGCGUGAAACUGAAAGCGCGAACCAUUGCUUUUAAUCAGGGCAAGGUGUCUGGUAACAUGACCGAAUACAAACAGUGCAGCUAUUCCCUCCGCAAGGCUAUCAAACAAGCUAAGCGUCAGUACAGAGACAAAGUAGAAUCUCAAUUCAACGGCUCAGACACAAGAGGCAUGUGGCAGGGUCUACAGUCAAUCACGGACUACAGGAAGAAAUCCAGCCCAGUCACGGACCAGGAUGUCCUGCUCCCAGGCAGACUAAAUAACUUUUUUGCCCGCUUUGAGGACAAUACAGUGCCACUGACACGGCCUGCAAAGAAAACAUGCGGUCUCUCCUUCACUGCAGCCGAGGUGAGUAAGACAUUUAAACGUGUUAACCCUUGCAAGGCUGCAGGCCCAGACGGCAUCCCCAGCCGCGCCCUCAGAGCAUGCGCAGACCAGCUGGCCGGUGUGUUUACGGACAUAUUCAAUCAAUCCCUAUACCAGUCUGCUGUUCCCACAUGCUUCAAGAGGGCCACCAUUGCUCCUGUUCCCAAGAAAGCUAAGGUAACUGAGCUAAACGACUACCGCCCCGUAGCACUCACUUCCGUCAUCAUGAAGUGCUUUGAGAGACUAGUCAAGGACCAUAUCACCUCCACCCUACCUGACACCCUAGACCCACUCCAAUUUGCUUACCGCCCAAAUAGGUCCACAGACGAUGCAAUCUCAACCACACUGCACACUGCCCUAACCCAUCUGGACAAGAGGAAUACCUAUGUGAGAAUGCUGUUCAUCGACUACAGCUCGGCAUUCAACACCAUAGUACCCUCCAAGCUCGUCAUCAAGNNNNNNNNNNCCUCAACACUGGGGCCCCACAAGGGUGCGUUCUGA